rnacentral:rRNA from 1 species
CGUGUAGGCGGACUCGGAAGUCGGGUGUGAAAGCCCUGGGCUUAACCCAGGAAGUGCGCCCGAAACCACGAGUCUUGAGGUCCGGAGGGGAUCGGGGAAUUCCUGGUGUAGAGGUGAAAUUCGUAGAUAUCAGGAAGAACACCGGCGGCGAAGGCGCCGAUCUGGACGGAUUCUGACGCUGAGACGCGAAAGCGUGGGGAGCAAAC